GAUGUACUUGUUGUAGACGAUGACCGUGAAGGAGAGGAAGAUCCACACCGCCACGUACAUGUACGACACCAGCACCUUCCGGAUCACCGAAUCCGACAUGCCCCCCUCGCCGCCAGCGCCGCCGCCGCCCUCCUUCCCCACGGCCAUCCUCCUCCCCGCCGCCCGCCGCUCGGUCUCUCCGGCUCCGGCGAGACGGUGGAUCUGGGCGGGGUGGCGAGCUGUCCCGCGUCGGCGCGCUCGCGAGAUGGAGUGUGAGAUCUGGGAGGGAGCAGGGGAGGAGGAGGAGGCGGAUCU
rnacentral:misc_RNA from 1 species